GAUGAACGCUGGCGGCGUGCCUAAUACAUGCAAGUCGAGCGAACAGACGAGGAGCUUGCUCCUCUGACGUUAGCGGCGGACGGGUGAGUAACACGUGGAUAACCUACCUAUAAGACUGGGAUAACUUCGGGAAACCGGAGCUAAUACCGGAUAAUAUAUUGAACCGCAUGGUUCAAUAGUGAAAGACGGUUUUGCUGUCACUUAUAGAUGGAUCCGCGCCGCAUUAGCUAGUUGGUAAGGUAACGGCUUACCAAGGCAACGAUGCGUAGCCGACCUGAGAGAGUGAUCGGCCACACGGUGACAGAGACACGGUCCAGACUCCUACGGGAGGCAGCGGUAGGGAGUCUUCCGCAAUAGGCGAAAGCCUGACGGAGCAACGCCGCGUGAGAGAUGAGGAUCUUCGGAUCGUAAAACUCUGUUAUUAGGGAAGAACAAAUGUGUAAGUAACUAGGCACGUCUUGACGGUACCGGAUCAGAAAGCCACGGCUAACUACGUG
rnacentral:rRNA from 1 species